CCGUUCUCCUUAAAAAUCUCCAGAAUCAAACACCGUUUCUGCAGUCUGCCUUGGUUUAGUUUGGAGAAGAAUUUACCAACUCCAAUCUGGCCCAAGCCUGGACCUUCUAGAUAAGGAAGUGGAUCACUAAAACAUAUUGCUGGUCAGGAACUCAUCACUUCUCAUCAGGAAACAUGUAAAGUGGAAAAAAAGAAAGACAGGACAGAGUUUGGAGAAAAAGCCAGCAGAACCUGAGAAGGAGCUGUAGUGGGACGGAAGCGAGAAAAGAAUAGACUAUUUUUGUUUUUGUGACUGGUUUGGCUUUGCCACUGGAGGCAGCGGCCAUGCUUGUGAUGGGGUAGGUGAAGGGGACAUUGGUUUGUUGCUGCCUGGUGCCGUAUAUGGAACCGUGAAGGAAGAUCAACAACGCUGUUAACACCUCAGUUCUCCAUACUGCAGGCUCAAAGGUACCCUUCUCAUUUCGUGUCGUUAUGUUGUGUGUGUCCGGUUCAGACUCCAAAGGCCUUGGUUGCACAAAAUCAUACACUGAGGGGGAUUGUUAUUCAAAUCGACAUAACAUAGUUUUCACACAGGGAGAACGCCUUGUGUGGACAUGCUGCCGUAAGCUGAGGAGCUGGGGAGAAGCUAGGACAGCCUCACACAAAUGCUCCCCCGGCACCUUCAGAAUGAGUGCGGCCCUGCUGAUACACUGCUUUUGGACGUGUAGCCUGCAGAAAUGUGACAUAAUAAAUUUCUGGUGUUCUAAGCCAGCCUUAGCUAAAGUUGUGGCCACUCUAGCAAACUAAUACACUCAGAAUGGGGAAUAUUAAGACACGGGUAGAAAAGACCCCAGUUCAAAGUGAGCUCAGGCCUUCUCCAGUUUCUUCCUACACUAGGAAACAUCCCUGGCAAAUGUGAAUUCCGAUUGUGACAUUUGGUCUAGAAAGGAUAACUACCUUUUUUUUUUUUUUUUAAAGAUUUUAUUUAUUUAUUCGACAGAGAUAGAGACAGC